CACGUAGGGCGCAAGCGUUGUCCGGAAUUAUUGGGCGUAAAGAGCUCGUAGGCGGUCUGUUGCGUCUGCUGUGAAAACCCGGGGCUUAACCCCUGGCUUGCAGUGGAUACGGACAGACUAGAGGUAGGUAGGGGAGAAUGGAAUUCCCGGUGUAGCGGUGAAAUGCGCAGAUAUCGGGAGGAACACCGGUGGCGAAGGCGGUUCUCUGGGCCUUACUUGACGCUGAGGAGCGAAAGCGUGGGGAGCGAACAGG
rnacentral:rRNA from 1 species